AACGAACGCUGGCGGCAUGCCUAACACAUGCAAGUCGAACGAGACCUUCGGGUCUAGUGGCGCACGGGUGCGUAACGCGUGGGAACCUGCCUUUAGGUUCGGAAUAACUCAGAGAAAUUUGAGCUAAUACCGGAUGAUGUCUUCGGACCAAAGAUUUAUCGCCUUUAUAUGGGCCCGCGUUGGAUUAGCUAGUUGGUGGGGUAAAGGCCUACCAAGGCGACGAUCCAUAGCUGGUCUGAGAGGAUGAUCAGCCACACUGGGACUGAGACACGGCCCAGACUCCUACGGGAGGCAGCAGUGGGGAAUAUUGGACAAUGGGCGAAAGCCUGAUCCAGCAAUGCCGCGUAGGUGAUGAAGGCCUUAGGGUUGUAAAGCUCUUUUACCCGAGAUGAUAAUGACAGUAUCGGGAGAAUAAGCUCCGGCUAACUCCGU
rnacentral:rRNA from 1 species